CCCUUAGAUGUCCGGGGCCGCACGCGCGCUACACUGAAGGAAUCAGCGUGGCUUUCUCCCUGACCCGAAAGGGUUGGGAAACCCGUUGAAUUUCCUUCGUGAUAGGGAUUGGGGCUUGAAAUUGUUCCCCAUGAACGAGGAAUUCCCAGUAAGCGCGAGUCAUAAGCUCGCGUUGAUUACGUCCCUGCCCUUUGUACACACCGCCCGUCGCUACUACCGAUUGAACGGUUUAGUGAGGGCCUCGGAUUGGUCUCGGCCCGCUCUUUACCGGGCGGCGCCGUUGGUCGAGAAGACGCUCGAACUUGAUCGUUUAGAGGAAGUAAAAGUCGUAACA
rnacentral:rRNA from 1 species